UGGUUGUAGUUGUCACUUCAGUUCCAGUAGUAGAUUCAGUUGGUGGUGUUGUAGACCUUGUGGUUGUAGUUGGCGUUUCAGUUGUAGUAGUAGAUUCAGUUGGUGGUGUUGUAGACCUUGUGGUUGUAGUUGUCUCUUCAGUUGUAGUAGUAGAUUUAGUUGGUGG